UAGUCCACGCUGUAAACGAUGAGAACUAAAUAUUGCCGCGAGGCAGUGUUGAAGCUAACGCAUUAAGUUCUCCGCCUGGGGAGUACGGUCGCAAGACUGAAACUUAAAGGAAUUGACGGGGACCCGCACAAGCAGUGGAGCAUGUGGUUUAAUUCGACGCAACGCGAGGAACCUUACCCGGGCUUGAACUGCAGGAGAAGGAUACAGAGAUGUUGACGCCCUUCGGGGCUCCUGUGGAGGUGCUGCAUGGUUGUCGUCAGCUCGUGCCGUGAGGUGUCGGCUUAAGUGCCAUAACGAGCGCAACCCCUCUCUUCAGUUGCCAUCAGUUUGAGCUGGGCACUCUGGAGACACUGCCACCGCAAGGUGUGAGGAAGGUGGGGACGACGUCAAAUCAGCACGGCCCUUACGUCCGGGGCUACACACGUGUUACAAUGGGUGGUACAGAGAGUCAGGGGCUGGCAACAUCCCCUUAAUCAAGAAAGCCAUCCUCAGUUCGGAUUGGGGUCUGCAACCCGACCCCAUGAAGCUGGAUUCGCUAGUAAUCGCGCAUCAGCCAUGGCGCGGUGAAUACGUUCCCGGGCCUUGUACACACCGCCCGUCAAGCCAUGAAAGCCGGGGGCGCCUGAAGUCCGUGACCGCGAGGAUCGGCCUAGGGCGAAACUGGUGAUUGGGGCUA
rnacentral:rRNA from 1 species